rnacentral:rRNA from 1 species
CUCAUCAACAACUUAAAUGAGAGCGACGGGCGAUGUGUACAUAUCCUAGAACCAAUCUAUCAUGAAAACAAUCUACAAAACAUUACAACCAAAUCCAAUUUCAUGUAAAUAUUCAAACAAACAAUCCAAACAACGCAUAACACUGUAAUCCAUCAUUACACUUAGAAAAAGCUGCACCUUGACCUGCAAUAAAUCAAAUUAAAGAAACCAGAAAAUUAAGAAACUCUAAAAAGAUAAUCAAUAAACGGCGGUAUACAAACCAAAAUUAACCCCAAGUAAGGUCCAACGCGGACUAUCGAUAACGAGACAGAUUCCUCUGAACGGAGUAGGAUACCGCCAAAUUCUUUAAGUUUCAAGAACACAACUAAUACUACUCAGGCAAAAAACAUUAACACUCAAA